rnacentral:rRNA from 1 species
CAGCAGCCACGGUAAUACGUAGGGUGCGAGCGUUAAUCGGAAUUACUGGGCGUAAAGCGUGCGCAGGCGGUUUUGUAAGACAGGCGUGAAAUCCCCGGGCUCAACCUGGGAAUGGCGCUUGUGACUGCAAAGCUAGAGUGCGGCAGAGGGGGAUGGAAUUCCGCGUGUAGCAGUGAAAUGCGUAGAUAUGCGGAGGAACACCGAUGGCGAAGGCAAUCCCCUGGGCCUGCACUGACGCUCAUGCACGAAAGCGUGGGGAGCAAACAGGAUUAGAUACCCCUGUAGUCCCUGUCUCUUAUAC